GAUGAAGAACGCAGCGAAAUGCGAUAAGUAGUGUGAAUUGCAGAAUUCAGUGAAUCAUCGAAUCUUUGAACGUACAUUGCGCCCCUUGGUAUCCCGAGGGGCAUGCCUGUUCGAGCGUCAUUUCACCACUCAAGCCUGGCUUGGUGUUGGGCGACGUCCUCUUUGGGGACGCGCCUCGAAACGCUCGGCGGCGUGGCACCGGCUUUAAGCGUAGCAGAAUCUUUCGCUUUGGAAGUCGGGGCCCCGUCUGCCGGAAGACCUGCUCGCAAGGUUGACCUCGGAUCAGGCAGGGAUACCCGCUGAACUUAAGCAUAUCAAUAAGCGGAGGA
rnacentral:misc_RNA from 1 species